rnacentral:rRNA from 1 species
UUGUUUGUAAAAUGGUAUUUUUAGUAUUAGUAGAGUUCUUUAAAUUAAAAGAGUUUGGCGGUACCUUCGUCAAAUUAGAGGAACCUGUAUUUUAAUCGAUAGCCCCCGAGUAUCUUACCUUAUUUAGUUGGCAGCUUGUAUACCGUUGUCUUCAGUUUGCAUUAGAAGAUGCUUUCUUUUUAUAUUUUAUUUAUAAAGUCAAAUCAAGGUAUAGCUUAUAAUAAGGUUAAUAUGGGUUACAAUUGGUGGAUCAAACACGAAUUUAAAGUUUUAAUAUUUUAUUGAAGGUGGAUUUAAAUGUAAGGUUCAUAAAUUUUGUGUAACUGAACUUGUAUUGAGGUAUGC